GUGGGGAAUAUUGGACAAUGGGCGAAAGCCUGAUCCAGCCAUGCCGCGUGUGUGAAGAAGGUCUUCGGAUUGUAAAGCACUUUAAGUUGGGAGGAAGGGCAGUAAGUUAAUACCUUGCUGUUUUGACGUUACGAACAGAAUAAGCACCGGCUAACUUCGUGCCAGCAGCCGCGGUAAUACGAAGGGUGCAAGCGUUCAUCGGAAUUACUGGGCGUAAAGCGCGCGUAGGUGGUUCAGCAAGUUGUCGGUGAAAUCCCCGGGCUCAACCUGGGAACUGCGUCCAAAACUACUGAGCUAGAGUACGGUAGAGGGUAGUGGAAUUUCCUGUGUAGCGGUGAAAUGCGUAGAUAUAGGAAGGAACACCAGUGGCGAAGGCGACUACCUGGACUGAUACUGACACUGAGGUGCGAAAGCGUGGGGAGCAAACAGGAUUAGAAACCCGAGUAGUCC
rnacentral:rRNA from 1 species